AUGGUGAAGGUUGGAGUGAACGGAUUUGGCCUGUUUGGGCGCCUGGCCACCAGGGCUGCUUUUAACUCUGGCAAAGUGGACAUCAUCGCCAUCAAUGACCCCCUUCAUUGACCUUCACUACAUGGUCUACAUGUUCCAGUAUGAUUCCAUCCAUGGUGAGUUUCACGACACAGUCAAGGCAGAGAAUGGGAAGCUCGUCAUUGAUGGAAAGGCCAUCACCAUUUUCCAGGAGCAAGAUCCUGCCAUCAUCAAGUGCGGUGAUGCUGGUGCUGCGUAUGUGGUGGAGUCCACUGGUGUCUUCACUACCAUGGAGAAGGCUAGGGCUUACUUGAAGGGUGGAAACCAAGAGGGUCAUCAUCUCUGCACCUUCUACCGAUCCCCCCAAGUUUGUGAUGGGCGUGAACCACGAGAGGUAUGACAACUCCCUCAAGAUUGUCAGCAAUGCCUCCUGCACCACCAACUGCUUGGCCGCCCUGGCAAAAGUCAUCCAUAACUACUUUGGCAUCGUGGAGGGACUCAUGACCACCAUCCACGUCAUCACUGCCACCCAGAAGACCGUGGAUGGGCCCUCCGGGAUGCUAUGGCGUGAUGGCCGAGGGGCUGCCCAGAAAAUCAUCCCUACUUCUACCAGUGCUGCCAAGGCCAUGGGCAAGGUCCUCCCUGAGUUCAAUGGGAAUCUCCCCUGCGUGGCCUUCCAUCCCCACCCCCAAGGUGUCCAUUGUGGAUCUGACCUGCCACCUAAAGAAACCUGCCAAGUAUAAUGAGAUCAAGAUGGUGAAGAUCAAGGUGGUGAAGCAGGCAUUGCAGGGCCCCCUCAAGGGCAUUCUAGGCUACACUGAGGACCAGGUUGUCUCCCGACACUUACUCUUUACCUUUGAUGCUGUAGCUUGUACUGCCCUCAGUGACCACUUCGUUAAGCUCAUUUCAUGGUACGACAAUGAAUUAGGCUACAGCAACAGGGUGGUGGACCUCAUGGUCCACAUGGCCUCCAUGGAGUAA
rnacentral:lncRNA from 1 species